rnacentral:rRNA from 1 species
UACAGGGGUCCCGAGCGUUGUUCGGAUUCAUUGGGCGUAAAGGGUGCGUAGGCGGUCUGCUAAGUUUGAUGUGAAAUCCCGGGGCUCAACCCUGGAAUGGCAUUGAAUACUGGCGGACUAGAGUACCGGAGAGGAAACUGGAAUUUACGGUGUAGCAGUGAAAUGCGUAGAGAUCGUAAGGAAGACCUGUGGCGAAGGCGAGUUUCUGGACGGUAACUGACGCUGAGGCACGAAGGCCAGGGGAGCAAACGGG